rnacentral:lncRNA from 12 species
AUGGCCCAACUGACCUCUGAACUGAGGUUUUUAAUCAGUUAUCAUUACAUCUGCAUGUACCAUUUAUUACGUGCAGCGCAUUGUGUGUUAGUCACUGUAGAAAACAGCUUUUGCGAAGAAGAUUAUAUAGUCCAUGGGUUCCACCUGGGUUUCGGACAUGGUGUUCUGGCACAGAAACCACUAGGAGUCAACUUGCUUUUAUCCCAUUGGAGAUUAAGGGAACUUCAUGGGAAAAAUCAAUUUUUCAAUGGAGUGGAUCUGCAAGCAAUCUAACAGAAGAUGGAGAUACUAAGAGGAGAGGAGUCCAACUUUAUCACUGCAGACAUAAAGAUUUAUUAUUUUUGCCAAUUUCAAAAGUAAACCUUAUAAAUAUCUAUGCUUUCCCCCCUCUGUUUUGCAUAUCUCGUUACUUGAAUUAA